rnacentral:rRNA from 1 species
UACGUAGGGUGCGAGCGUUGUCCGGAAUUAUUGGGCGUAAAGAGCUCGUAGGCGGUGUGUCACGUCGGCAGUGAAAACCUGCAGCUUAACUGUGGGCGUGCGGUCGAUACGGGCAUCACUGGAGUUCGGCAGGGGAGACUGGAAUUCCUGGUGUAGCGGUGAAAUGCGCAGAUAUCAGGAGGAACACCGGUGGCGAAGGCGGGUCUCUGGGCCGAUACUGACGCUGAGGAGCGAAAGCGUGGGGAGCAAACAGG